GACGAACGCUGGCGGCGUGCCUAAUACAUGCAAGUAGAACGCUGAAGGAGGAGCUUGCUUCUCUGGAUGAGUUGCGAACGGGUGAGUAACGCGUAGGUAACCUGCCUGGUAGCGGGGGAUAACUAUUGGAAACGAUAGCUAAUACCGCAUAAGAGUAGAUGUUGCAUGACAUUUGCUUAAAAGGUGCAAUUGCAUCACUACCAGAUGGGCCUGCGUUGUAUUAGCUAGUUGGUGGGGUAACGGCUCACCAAGGCGACGAUACAUAGCCGACCUGAGAGGGUGAUCGGCCACACUGGGACUGAGACACGGCCCAGACUCCUACGGGAGGCAGCAGUAGGGAAUCUUCGGCAAUGGACGGAAGUCUGACCGAGCAACGCCGCGUGAGUGAAGAAGGUUUUCGGAUCGUAAAGCUCGGUUGUAAGAGAAGAACGAGUGUGAGAGUGGAAAGUUCACACUGUGACGGUAUCUUACCAGAAAGGGACGGCUAACUACGUG
rnacentral:rRNA from 1 species